GUGGUGAACAACACUGCAGCCACAGCGGCCUCGGACACACCGAGAGGUGAGACUGCUGAACACAGGCACCACCGGUCCCUCCGACCACCAACAGCAGCAGGCAAAGUGGGGAAAGUACCUUGCUCAAGGACACGUCUGAGACAGACAGGACUCCAACCUGCAAACCCUCGGUUAAGAGGCGGGCCACAGUCUCCUGUAUAUAAAUAAUUGAAUCGAAUCCUACAGGAAUCCAUUCCUUGUUUUCCAGAUCUGUCCCAGACCGCUCCUCCUCGUGGUUCUGGCAGGGUUUGGGCACUCCUACGUGGCACUAAAGCCGGAUAAUUCCAGCCUGAACCUCUGCAUUUGUGAGGCAGCAUGUUCUCCUGGUUCUGUCCAGAGUCGUGCAACACAGGCGGCCUGCACUGCUGCACAUCAUGCCUGGUACUACGCUCCGGGGCUUUGAAUAUUUUGAGAACCAUCGUUUGAGAAGAGGUUGAAAUCUAACCUGGAUGGUCUUCCUGACAAUUAGGACAGAGUGUUCUAUGCCAACGGAGCAAUGAUGCGACAGCUGUGGGGGGUGUGGCUAAAGAGCGGCUGGGACACAAAAACAUUCAGAACUUUGCGUUUUCAGUCCAACAUAAACUACAUCCUGAGAAAGGAAUGCAGCGGGACAUUUAGGAGGAGCUCGGAAAAGUCUGUAUUAAAGCUGUUGGGACAAUGAUUAGGACCAUAUGGACAUUCUGGACAUGGAGCUGUUUCAACAUCUGAGGCCGUUUGCCAAGAAACAAAAUCUGAACCUGAUCCAGGAUCAGAGUGGAGUCAGACGAAAGUUAAACUAGGACUUCUGGAGAAGGAGUCAGAACCAGAACCGCUGACACUGGUUAGAAGAGGAUGCAGACGGUUUGGUGUUAAGAACGGUUUUCUGAAUUAUCGCACGACCCUUCACACGGGUUGGAAUUGGACCGACAACCUCGAGCGGUGCAUCCGAGUGCCUGUCAGGAGCACAUAAACCUUCACAGACGUUUGGACGCUGUAGAGAAGAAAGUGGAGGACACAGUCGAGAAAUUGGACGUUCAGCUGGCUGCUCUUGUGGACGCUAUUGAGACAUCGGAGUGGCGCCCUCUGUUGGACACCACAGGACAGACUAACGUGGACAUCCUAGAGGAUCCAGAGCAGAGAGAACAGUCUUGAGACACUCAUGACAACAAUACUCACUUUUAUUGAAACUUUGAAACUAAAUUUGGGUUGUGUUGCAAGAUGAGAUGAAAGUGCAACUUCACUUUAUCCAGUCAUUAUUGUGCUUAAAUGGCUUGUAGUCUGAUAUUAAAUGUCAUUAAAGCAAA